rnacentral:lncRNA from 1 species
CUACUGCUAUCCACAAGGAGAUAAUUUGAUUGGAGCUCUAAUGUCACUGGAGUGUUAGCACCUUGUAGGCAUCACUCCUUUGCUUGAAUCUAAAUCCUCAUCUUUUAGAUCUCGAAGAAGAGGACUAUAGCGCAAAUCUUUCGCAUUGAUUUGACGGGAUCUCUUCAGGAUGCCAAGAAGAGAAGCAAAAUAUUUUUUUUUUCUCUUCCUCUCUCUCAGAUCUGAUCUGAGAACAAAGUUGGGCAUAGGAUGGAAGAAGGAGAGGAGAAGGUGUGAAGAUUGUUUUGCGGCAAGGAAGGAAUCUUUUUCACAAAUCAUCAUACGCCAACACCUUUUUAUUUUCUUUUAUCGCACAAAAUUGCCUCCCAAUGCCCAACCCUGAUUAGAUAUGAUUCUCUUCUAGAUAAGAAACAUCCUUAUUCAAAUUUGGAUAGAGAUCAGGAUGUGAGAGAGUCCCAGAGAGGUGGGGUGCCAACUAUUGGUGCCCCCUCUCUAUUCACGCAUGCAAAGGAGAA